AUGGGGUCUUGCUAUGUUGCCCAGGCUGGUCUUGAACUCCUAGCCUGGGCAACAUAGCAACAGCCACC
rfam:Pan troglodytes isolate Yerkes chimp pedigree #C0471 (Clint) chromosome 4, whole genome shotgun sequence.